UAAAGUAAAACCCGCNCGGGGAGNACGGGUCGGCAAGAUUAAAAAUUCAAAUAAUUGANGGGGGGCCCGCACAAGCGGUGGAGCAUGUGGUUAAAUNNCGAUGCAACGCGAAGAACCUUACCUACUCUUUGACAUCUACAGAAGCCAGCGGAGACGCAGGUGUGCCUUCGGGAACUGUAAGACAGGUGCUGCAUGGCUGUCGUCAGCUCGUGUUGUGAAAUGUUGGGUUAAGUCCCGCAACGAGCGCAACCCUUAUCCUUGUUUGCCAGCACUUCGGGUGGGAACUCCAGGGAGACUGCCGGUGAUAAACCGGAGGAAGGUGGGGACGACGUCAAGUCAUCAUGGCCCUUACGAGUAGGGCUACACACGUGCUACAAUGCCGCAUACAGAGGGCGGCCAACUUGCGAAAGUGAGCGAAUCCCAAAAAGUGCGUCGUAGUCCGGAUUGGAGUCUGCAACUCGACUCCAUGAAGUCGGAAUCGCUAGUAAUCGUGGAUCAGAAUGCCACGGUGAAUACGUUCCCGGGCCUUGUACACACCGCCCGUCACACCAUGGGAGUGGGCUGCAAAAGAAGUGGGUAGUUUAACCUUCGGGAGGACGCUCACCACUUUGUGGUUCAUGACUGGGGUGAAGUCGUAACAAGGUAACCG
rnacentral:rRNA from 1 species